rnacentral:rRNA from 1 species
UACGGAGGGUGCAAGCGUUGUUCGGAUUGAUUGGGCGUAAAGCGCAUGUAGGCGGGUUUGUAAGUCGGAUGUGAAAUCCCUGAGCUUAACUUGGGAACUGCAUCUGAAACUACUUAUCUUGAAUGCUCGAGGGGUUGGUGGAAUUCCUGGUGUAGGAGUGAAAUCCGUAGAUAUCAGGAGGAACACCGGAGGCGAAGGCGGCCAACUGGUGAUGCAUUGACGCUGAGGUGCGAAAGCGUGGGGAGCAAACAGG